rnacentral:rRNA from 1 species
GCAUAUCAAUAAGCGGAGGAAAAGAAACUAACAAGGAUUCCCCUAGUAACGGCGAGUGACCCGGGAAGAGCUCAAAUUUGAAAUCUGGCGUCCUCAGGGCGUCCGAGUUGUAAUCUAUAGAGGCGUUUUCCGUGCCGGACCGUGUCCAAGUUCCUUGGAACAGGAUAUCAAAGAGGGUGACAAUCCCGUACUUGACACGAUGACCGGUGCUCUGUGAUACGUCUUCUACGAGUCGAGUUGUUUGGGAAUGCAGCUCAAAAUGGGUGGUGAGUUCCAUCUAAAGCUAAAUAUUGGCGAGAGACCGAUAGCGAACAAGUACCGUGAGGGAAAGAUGAAAAGCACUUUGGAAAGAGAGUUAAACAGUACGUGAAAUUGUUGAAAGGGAAACGAUUGAAGUCAGUCGUGACUGAGAGGCUCAGCCGGUUCUGCCGGUGUAUUCCCCUCAGUCGGGUCAACAUCAGUUUUGUCCGGUGGAAAAGGGCGGUAGGAACGUGGCACCUCCGGGUGUGUUAUAGCCUGCCGUCGCAUACAUCGGGUGAGACUGAGGAAUGCAGCUCGCCUUUAUGGCCGGGGUUCGCCCACGUCCGAGCUUAGGAUGUUGACAUAAUGGCUUUAAAC